CAGGAAGCUGGAAUGUUUGAAUGGGU
rnacentral:piRNA from 1 species